rnacentral:siRNA from 1 species
UGAAACCAAUGACACACCUCUC